GACGAACCGUGCGAACGUUGUUCGGAAUCACUGGGCUUAAAGGGCGCGUAGGCGGCUUCCCAAGCCCGGGGUGAAAUCUUUCGGCUUAACCGGAAAGGCCUCGGGACUGGGGGCUAGAGGGAGGUAGGGCAAGCGGAACGUUCCGGUGGAGCGGUGAAAUGCGUUGAUAUCGGAAGGAACGCCGGCGGCGAAAGCGGACUUGCUGGACCUCGAUCGACGCUGAUGGCGCGAAAGCUGAGGGGAGC
rnacentral:rRNA from 1 species